rnacentral:rRNA from 1 species
UACGAAGGGUGCUAGCGUUGUUCGGAAUCACUGGGCGUAAAGCGCGCGUAGGCGGCUUUGCAAGUCAGAGGUGAAAUACCCAGGCUCAACCUGGGAACUGCCUUUGAAACUGCGAAGCUAGAGUGUCGGAGGGGAUAGCGGAAUUGCUAAUGUAGAGGUGAAAUUCGUAGAUAUUAGCAGGAACACCGGUGGCGAAGGCGGCUAUCUGGACGACAACUGACGCUGAGGCGCGAAAGCGUGGGGAUCAAAC